rnacentral:lncRNA from 1 species
CAGCCGGCGGGCGCGGAGCGGGCAGCGGGGCCCGGAUCGCAGGCUCCUCUGGGGGCCCCGGAGUUGGGAAGCGGCGUCCGGGAGCCCCCGGAGGAGGAUGGGCUGCAGACACAGCAGGCUGAGCAGCUGCAAACCCCCGAAAAAGAAGCGCCAAGAACCAGAACCAGAACAGCCACCCAGACCAGAGCCCCAUGAAUUAGGUCCCCUCAAUGGGGACACAGCUAUAACUGUCCAGCUCUGUGCAUCAGAGGAGGCUGAGCGGCACCAGAAGGAUAUAACCAGAAUUCUCCAGCAACAUGAGGAGGAAAAGAAGAAAUGGGCACAACAGGUGGAGAAGGAAAGGGAGCUAGAGCUUCGAGACAGACUGGAUGAGCAGCAAAGGGUCCUGGAAGGAAAGAAUGAAGAGGCCCUUCCUCCGGGCCUCAUAUGAACAGGAGAAAGAAGCGCUUACCCACUCUUUCCGGGAGGCCAGUUCUACCCAGCAGGAGACCAUAGACAGACUGACCUCACAGCUGGAGGCUUUCCAGGCCAAAAUGAAGAGGGUGGAGGAGUCCAUUCUGAGCCGAAACUAUAAGAAACAUAUCCAGGAUUAUGGGAGCCCCAGCCAGUUCUGGGAGCAGGAGCUGGAGAGCUUACACUUUGUCAUCGAGAUGAAGAAUGAGCGUAUUCAUGAGCUGGACAGGCGGCUGAUCCUCAUGGAAACAGUG